CGGGGCUUUGAUUUUUCUGGUAGAAAAGAGAGACAGAGGAGGAUCCAGGGAGGAGGAGAGGUAGGAGAAGAAGGAAGGGUGCGGCAGGGUGCAGCGGUGCGAGGGCACUGGUCUCCCGCGUGAGGAGCGCCUCUCCUCGGGAGGAUCUGGAGGGAGUGAGUGAAACUCAAAUCCACUUCAGAGCAAGGUACUGUUGUAGAAGUACGAAGAAGCAAGCUGACCAGAUGUACAAGUAGUAGCCGGCAACGACGAUGAAGCAAGCCAACCAGAUGUGCACGAAACGACCAUACAUCAUGCCUGAUUGAUCCUCCGGUACGUGUUUCAUUGGCCAAUAGCCCAUGCUAGCUAGCUAGCAACCAUGUAAAUUUCCCACGCUUGAUUUAUUCCUUUAGGACUUUAUUAAUUUUAUAUGUUCUUCCCAUGAUUAUCUAGAUAAUACUAACUGUUGAUGUUUCUUUCACGCAUACAUGGCUUUGCUAGGAGUUUUUCCACUGGUGAGGUCUGAACUCUGAAUACUAUGAACUUAAGGAUAAAUCUUAUAGCAGAUCAAAAUCAUGGUCCACGCAAAAAAAAAAAAGAGAGAUCAGAAUCAUGGUUGUGCUGAUUCCAUAGGGGCCUCAUGAUGGUUUGUGUUCUUUUAUUCAAAUGAAAAAACCAAGAUUACUAUUGUAACUGUUACAGUUGUACUAGCAGGAUUAUCCUAGAAGCUGUGCCAAUUUUUCAUCAAUUGAUAACACAGUAAGGUAGUGAAUCAUCUUUGUAGACUUUACCAUGCCUAGACUGGUUGACUUGGAUCAUGUGUAUGUCUUAAACUUUUAAAAAAAAUUCUCACUUUCUAUGCUAAGCUCGAAUUUGAAGAUACAAGUUGAGGUGUGUCUUGGGACAGUGUGACUAAAAAAUGAACCUUCAGUUUCUGCAAUCAAAAGAAAAGUGAGUGAUUUUUCAAUGAAAACAUAAUACUUCUGAGCAUAAGCAUGUUAAAGUCCAGCAAUUGACUUGGCUUAUUGUUUUGGAAAUCGCAACCGGUGCUUUCCUGCUUGUUUUUGUGAUCACUUGUGUUGUUACUGCCUCCAGAAGCUGCAAUCUAAAGCCUUCUAUAAGAAUAUCAUCACAGAGUAGAUCAAAAAGUUGGAGCGACGAGAUAACAGCACUGAUUGGCUGGUAUUAAGUUUAUAAAAUAAAUUGAUUAUUUUGUCUAACAUAUAUUGUCGCUAAUGUGUUCAUGCUUUCCUCAGAUUCUGAUAUGCUGAAAAUUUGCCAAAGUUAUCGUUGGUUGUUUUUUAUCCUGGUCUUCUUGUUUCUUUCAGUUCAUCAUCCGCAAGAUCUACAUCAUCAUCUUUGGGUCAGUUCGCCAUGAAGGCCAUUCUGCGAACGAGGUUGUUCAUGUCCCUCCUCAUGUACAGUUGUACUUCUAUUCUAGGAUUUCAACUCUGCACUCCAUUCCGCAUCCUGAAUAUUCAGAGUCUCGAGUUUGCAUGAGUCUCGAUUUGAUUAAAUGAACAGGUCAGUAAGAUAGAUUUUUGGUCGAGGAUAGAUUUUUGAUCGUGUGUGGGAUGAGAGGGAAUACUUAUCGGGUUAGGGUCGUGACAUUUUUUCUCCCGUUGCAACGCACGGGCAUUUUUGCUAGUAUAUAUUAUUUUUUAUUUUUUAUUUAUAUUUUUAUUUUUUAUAUAAUAAAGCACGGAUCGACUUUGUCGGGUUCACCGUCACGUCACAAUACGCUUUCUUCUCAUGUUAUAAUACGCUUUCACUUUGGAUUUAAUUGACUUUGUCGGGUUCACCGUCACAAUACGCUUUCUUCUCAUGUUAUAAUACGCUUUCACUUUGGAUUUAAAACAUAUAAGCAAGGUGGUACUAAUUCGGCUCGUACCUCAUCCACACCCGUUUUCGUCCGUCCACCGUUUUGUUCGUAAGUCAGUUUCGUUCGGCACCGGCACUGAGAUAGGCAAGCGAACGAUCCAGCCCAUGAGCUGGCACAGGCCCA
rnacentral:lncRNA from 1 species